UUAGUCAGCGAAAGCUUUGAUCCGUACCACACAUGUGGUCACCUUAUGGGUACGGGGAGCUAGUGGUGAAACCGGUCGCAAAAA
rnacentral:ncRNA from 2 species